CUGUAUUUCUACCGUGUUGGGGUGUGCAGUGUAUGUACUCUACAUGCUGCCAAAAGGAGUGUGCAGUGUAGACAUACAUUUAGUUAUAUACUGAAACCAAAGAUUUUUAAGAGCUACAAACAUAGCAUAACAGACUCUUCUAUGUGUGCAAUGGAGACUGAACAGAAAAAGUUUUUGCAAAGCUUCAUGGUCACAAGAGCACAGCCAGAUUUUGGUAAAUCUCUGGUGCAAGGCCAACUAAACAGUGGACUUUAGCAAGAGUACCAGGAAUGAUGAUACAUACCAGAAAAUAGCAAAGAAGUUGGCUGCACUGCAAAUACACCAGACCAGUGCAGGGAGCAGAUUAAACAUGUCAAGACUGAGUACAGGAAAACUAGGAACCAGAACCACACCUCUGGCAAUGUGCCAACAUCAUGCCCAUUUUAUGAGGAAUUUCAUUCGGCACUGUGCCAAGCACAGAGCCAACAGUGGUGCAUGAUGACCUCAUCACCCAGGAUGGUGCCCUGCUGGCCCCAGAAUCCAGCAUAGGGACUGGGAGCCAGCAGCAGGUGCAGAGUGAGGACAAUUAAGUGUCUUUUUUUGCUGAAACUGGUCCCAGAGGAGGUUUUGCCAAAGGAGCAGCAUGUCCUGGAGCUGUACUCAGAGGAGCUUUUCUGAUAUCCCCCUGAGGAAUAGCCCACCAUGGCACCUGCAGCAGACACACACAAAACAGAAGCUGCCCCAGAGUCUUGUCCCUCAACUUCUGAAGCCUGCAGUACUCCCACAGCUCACCCACAUUGCAGCAGAAGCAUGGGUCAAUGUAUCUUUGUGGACUGUUCCAAAAGGAAGCAUUUCCGUAAUGAACUUGUGUUGAAGUUCUGGACAGAAUCAACAAGCAGGUCCCGUACCAAAUGCAGAGGGACUUACAGCUAGAGGAAAGGCUCAGGCUGGCUGCACAGCUUGAGGACAGGGUUUCAGCACGAGAGUGGGCCCUUGAUUCACAGUUCCUGAAACAGCAAUAGUGGCUAAGGGAGGAGGAUAGAGCUCAGCAGGAAGAACUGUUUGAAUGGCUGAUAUCGCUAACGGCCAGAGUACCAGUUCCUGCUGUACCACCCACACCAUGGCCCGAGUCCCCUGUGCAGUACCCUGGGAUUCAGUCCAGAAAUAGCUUGGAAAACUCCGUGGCUGGGUGGCCCAUGCACUUGGGCCCCAGGAGAGGCUGGGCAGGGCAACUUUGGCCCAUGCAGCCCUCCAGAUUGACUCCUUCCCCAUGGAUGCCACCAUAUCCCUCCACCUGCACCCAGGGUGUGGCAAAGUGUAAAGAAGAACAGGAGAAAGUGCACUUUUUUUUCUUUUAUGGUUAUGUUGUUACUGGUGUGGCCUGCCUGGCAAUGGGUUAAUCUUGUACUUCUCUAAUACACGUUUAUAAAUAAAGCUUUUUAUUUUAUCAAGUUUAUUGGUAUCACUGCAUCACAUCAUACAAUGUGCAUUUAAAAUAAUAAAGGUAAACACAUGAUCU